UGUACUUGUCUUGCCAGUAGAGUUUCUCGUCUUCAUAUUGUUAAGUUGUAAUAGUUUAUUUUGAUAACAUCUGCAGAGGUCUUAUGUUUUAAAUUAAUACAUAUAGAAAGAUAUUAUAAGAGAAAAUAUUAAGGAGAAUAUUGAUAUUGUUAUUAAUGUAUUAUGACGCAUAGGGGUAAUGUUUACUCUAUGCAAAUGUAAAUGGCAAGAAUUAAUGUAUAUUGCAUGAGAGUGACUGUAUGUUAGUAUUAUAGAUUGAAGAAGCCGGUUGAAAUCCGUGAAGUGACUUUUAUUGUGAAGGUGACUUUAACAAGACAGGAUUCUUAUUGUGAAAGCGUUGGAACCGGAAGUGACGUUUCGAGCCGGCGCAAGAGGAUUAUGAAACAGCGUGUUUUUAGAGAGCUCGUUCUCUUUCUCAGGUAAGCCCCGAAGGGAAGGUUGUGCUCUCGGAAGGAGCCGAGAGCUGUCAGCCUGGACACGAGGGAGAGCGCGUUGAAUGUUUGAUUCACUUUUCUUGCCAUUAAAUGUUGAUAACUUAAUCCAUGCGUGUCCGGAAGCCUGUUUCUCCACCAUCUGCGUAGUGCCCCAGUUUUGAUGAAUACUUUACAAUUUGGAAACCACGGAAGGCGAAACUGAGAUGGGCCGCCAGAGUUACAGGACUAAGGACGCGUUCCUGCGGUUACCGGAGCCCACCAGGAGCCAGUGGACUAAGUCCAGGCGAAUGGGGUGCUCUGAAGUCAUUGCAAGGACCUCAGAGCGCCCUCGAUCUGUUUUAGGGGUUCAAGCACGAGAGAGGAGGGUGCUGGACGAAUACCUGCCUGCUAUCAGAUCCUAGUAGGAUUUGAAUAUUUCUAUGCCCUAGUCAAGGGCCAUAGAUAGGAUCAAUUACAUUUAUCAUAACCGGUAAAGAUAAAUAAAGUUAGAUUGGAUUGGAUAAGUAAUUGAGACUCUGUUGGACGGGGUGAGAAGCUGCUCCUCCGACUCAGUUGAAGAUUGCGAAUUCAAGCCUAGAAAGUAUUAGAUACUUAUUAGAUAUAGAAAUUAAAAUAUAGACAAUUUUUCAUAGUCAAGUGUCACAUUCUGUAUAGAGCCGCCCUAGUGGCCGCUGUGUUGUGUUGUGUUCUCAUUUUCUCCAACAGCUACACCUGACGCUCCAGCAUCGAUCUCCAUCGUGUGCUGACUGCCUGCUGUGAGGACCUGCCAUGAGGAGCUGCCCACAGGAGCAUCGGACACCAUCAUCACCCGGCUCAGAGAGACUGAGGAGCAGACGGAGCCAUCCUGAGGACCCCUGCGAUGCCAUUCGGAGCAGAGGAGAGAACGAUGCAGAGGAAGAGGAACAGAUGACAUCAUGUGGAUAUGUAAAUCCACCGACGGACGGCGCAGCCAGUGAAAACCAUGAGGAAUAAUAUCUCCCCAGGGGCUGGGACGCCCGGGAGGCAUGAGACAGGUUCCAGAGAGACAUCGACCUUUUGGAUGACGGCAGAGAACCACUGCAUGCAGGUAGCUGCAUGUAAGCCGAGAUCCUUGAGAAGUCCUCAGCUGAGAUUUAGUGAGUGUGAAUUGCUGGUAGACAGUUAACUGCUUGCAGUCUGUGGACGCAGUAGUUCAUGCUCCCUCAGCUGAGUGGGACAAUCGCAACCAUCAUUGACAAUCUGCUUGGAGGAAUACUGGAGUUGCAGAGCAUGUAUGCGGAGGGACUGGAUUCACAGGGAUGCACAGACACCUGCACAGAUAGACACUUAGUGCACGUUACAUCAACCGGAGCCAUCAGGACAGCAAGAUUCUUUACCUGUGUGAUGAAUACAUUCACACUGACACUUAGUGUUAUUUAGUUUCCUUGAGAAGCAGGGAUGCAAGGAGGGAGUGAUGUUCUCCACAGGGAUGCUGAAUGAUAAUGAGUGAUAAUUAAAAUGUUGUACAAUGUUUGUUUACAUAGAGGGUCAAAAUAAAAGGGCUAUUACUUGGAUUGUUUAUACUAUUGGAUAAGUAUAAAAGGAGGGAUUGUUAAGUUGUAAUAGUUUAUUUUGAUAACAUCUGCAGAGGUCUUAUGUUUUAAAUUAAUACAUAUAGAAAGAUAUUAUAAGAGAAAAUAUUAAGGAGAAUAUUGUUAUUAAUGUAUUAUGACGCAUAGGGGUAAUGUUUACUCUAUGCAAAUGUAAAUGGCAAGAAUUAAUGUAUAUUGCAUGAGAGUGACUGUAUGUUAGUAUUAUAGAUUGAAGAAGCCGGUUGAAAUCCGUGAAGUGACUUUUAUUGUGAAGGUGACUUUAACAAGACAGGAUUCUUAUUGUGAAAGCGUUGGAACCGGAAGUGACGUUUCGAGCCGGCGCAAGAGGAUUAUGAAACAGCGUGUUUUUAGAGAGCUCGUUCUCUUUUCUUAGGUAAGCCCCGAAGGGAAGGUUGUGCUCUCGGGAGGUGCCGAGAGCCUGCAGCCUUGACACGAGGAGAGAGCGCGUUGAAUGUUUGAUUCACUUUUCUUGCCAUUAAAUGUUGAUAACUUAA